AUAAAGCCAAGUGCUCUGUCAGAACUAGACCGCCUGUCACCUGUGUUCUAAGAGCUGAACCAGAAAUGUCCUCAGGCAUGCCAGACAUACCUGCCCCACUCACCAAUUUGAAGAUUCAAUAUACUAAGAUCUUCAUAAACAAUGAAUGGCAUGCUUCAGUGAGUGGCAAGAAAUUUGCUGUCAUUAAUCCUGCAACUGAGGAGGUCAUCUGCCAUGUAGAAGAAGGAGAUAAGGAGGAUGUUGACAAAGCCGUGAAGGCCGCAAGACAGGCUUUUCAGAUCGGCUCUCCAUGGCGUACUAUGGAUGCUUCAGAGAGGGGACGACUGUUGUACAAGCUGGCCGAUUUAAUCGAGAGAGAUCGUCUCUUGCUGGCAACAAUGGAGGCAAUGGAUAGUGGGAAAAUAUUUUCCAACGCAUACCUGAUGGAUUUAGGAGGCUGCAUAAAAGCAUUACACUACUGUGCAGGCUGGGCCGACAAGAUCCAGGGCCGUACAAUACCAGCCGAUGGAAACAUUUUUACUUAUACAAGGCAUGAACCUAUUGGUGUAUGUGGCCAAAUCAUUCCUUGGAAUUUUCCCGUUGUUCAUGUUUAUUUGGAAGAUAGCACCUGCCCUGAGCUGUGGAAACACAGUAGUUGCAAACCAGCAGAGCAACUCCUCUCACUGCACUCCAUGUGGCAUCCUUAAUAAAGAGGUAAGCAGGGUUUCCUCCUGGAGUGGUGAAUAUUGUCCCUGGUUACGGGCCUACUGCAGGAGCAGCCAUCUCUUCUCACAUGGAUGUAGACAAAGUGGCCUUCACAGGAUCAACAGAGGUUGGCAAAUUGAUCAAAGAAGCUGCUGGGAAAAGCAAUCUGAAGAGGGUGACCCUGGAGCUUGGGGGGAAGAGCCCUUGCAUCGUGUUUGCUGAUGCGGACUUGGACAGUGCCGUUGAAUAUGCACACCGAGGGGUAUUCUACCACCAGGGCCAGUGUUGUGUAGCCGCAUCCAGGCUUUUCGUGGAAGAAUCAAUUUACGAUGAGUUUGUUCGGAGGAGUGUAGAGCGGGCUAAGAAGUAUGCUUUUGGAAAUCCUCUAACUCCAGGAGUAAAUCAAGGCCCUCAGGUUAACAAGCAACAACGUGACAAAAUACUUGAUUCUCAUGAGAGUGGGAAGAAAGAAGGGGCCAAAUGGAAUGUGCGGAGGCCCAUGGGAACAAAGGCUACUUUAUCCAGCCCCCGUUUUCUCUAAUGUUACAGACGACAUGCGCAUCGCCAAAGAGGAGAUAUUUGGACCAGUGCAGCAAAUCAUGAAAUUUAAAACUUUAGAUGACGUGAUCAAGAGAGCAAACAAUACUCACUAUGGGUUAGCAGCAGGAAUCUUUACCAAAGACCUGGAUAAAGCCAUCACAGUGUCCUCUGCUCUGCAGGCCGGGACAGUGUGGGUGAACUGCUAUCUCAUGUCGUCUGCCCAGUGCCCCUUUGGUGGCUUCAAGAUGUCUGGAAAUGGACGAGAACUGGGAGAAUAUGGUCUCCAUGAAUAUACAGAAGUCAAGACAGUCACAAUAAAAAUCUCUCAGAAGAACUCAUAAAAAAACUACAACAGUGGAGAAAAAUUCUUCAAAAUCAUCUCCUAUAGUCACUAACAGAGUGGGUUUUCAAUGCCAAAUUAUUCUUUUCAUGAUUUUCUUAAAACAUAAGCUAAUAAUCAGUGUUAGUUCUAUCCACAGAAAACUUGACAUGUAGCUUAUUCUGAGUCAUUCGCCUUCUGAUAUGUGACCUCAAUUCCAUCCUAAAUAAAAAGGAUGUAUUUGGACACCAAAUCUUUGAAGCUCUGUCAUAGUCAUGUGCUUUCAUUUGUAGCUACUUGUCCAGCAUAAUCAUUUCAUAGAAGAGAACCAGUUGUCAUUUAGCUUCUUUCCCUUAAGGACUCCUUGAAGUACUUAACAUACAUGUUAACUGCAGAGUGAGUUGCUCUGUUUCCAGUAGUUAUGAAGUCCUUGGAGUGUCUUGAAAUGUUUCCUGGAUCCAUGUCUGCUUGUCAAAUGAAGUGAUGCCUGAAAUACUUAGCUGUAAGCUGAAUAUGAAGCUUAAUAAAAACAAUUUUGCAUGA